AAUCAACGCUGGCGGCGUGCCUAACACAUGCAAGUCGAACGCGAAAGCCCCUUCGGGGGCAAGUAGAGUGGCGUCCGGGUGAGUAACACGUGGGUAAUCUACCUCCGGGUGGGGAAUAACUCGCCGAAAGGUGGGCUAAUACCGCAUAAUGCAGCGGCACCGAAUGGUGAUUAGUUGUUAAAGCGGGGGACCUUAGGGCCUCGCGUCUGGAGAGGAGCCUGCGGCAGAUUAGCUUGUUGGAGGGUAAUGGCCUACCAAGGCUGCGAUCUGUAGCUGGUCUGAGAGGACGGCCAGCCACACUGGCACUGACACACGGGCCAGACUCCUACGGGAGGCAGCAGUGGGGAAUUUUGGGCAAUGGGCGAAAGCCUGACCCAGCAACGCCGCGUGAAGGAGGAAAUCC
rnacentral:rRNA from 1 species